AGAACGAACGCUGGCGGCGUGGAUAAGACAUGCAAGUCGAACGAGACUUUUCGUUGUAGCAAUACGAUGGAAAGUUUAGUGGCGAACGGGUGCUUAACACGUGGGCAACCUGCCGAGAAGUGGGGGAUAGCUCGCCGAAAGGCGAAUUAAUACCGCAUGUGAUUAGAGAGGACAUCCUUUCGAAAUUAAAGUCGGGGCAACCUGACGCUUUUUGUGGGGCCCGCGGCCUAUCAGCUAGUUGGUGAGGUAACGGCUCACCAAGGCUUUGACGGGUAGCUGGUCUGAGAGGACGGCCAGCCACACUGGGACUGAGACACGGCCCAGACACCUACGGGUGGCAGCAGUCGAGAAUUUUUGACAAUGGGGAAACCCUGAUCGAGCGACGCCGCGUGGAGGAUGAAGGUCUUCGGGUUGUAAACCUCUUUCAGCAGGGACGAAGCGAGAGUGACGGUACCUGCAGAAGAAGCGCCGGCCAACUACGUGCCAGCAGCCGC
rnacentral:rRNA from 1 species